CUUUUCACUUGUCUCAACAACGAAAGAUAGAGAGAUAGAGAUAGAGAUAGAGAGAGAGAUAGAGAGAGAGAGAGAUGAUAAAAGAGAGAGAAAGAGAGAGAGA